AAGACCCAAGUGAACAGCGCAGAUGAU
rnacentral:piRNA from 1 species